GUAACAAGUUUUCAUUCCCUUUUUAACUGAACACAAGAAAGUUUAAAUAAACAUCUAUAUAUAUAAUUCUCUUCUUCCCUCAACAGUUUGGAUGAGCAAGAAGUAAAAGAAAGUGCGGAGUCACCCCACGAAAUAACAAGAGGUGGGGGGGGGGGGGAGAACACGUGGGUAUUCACACGUCGCUACGGAUGGCUGCACGCUGGACUGUCAAACCCUGUCCGCUCCCAUCCCCCUUCGUCUUGCAGGAGGUUUGGACUAAAAAGUUAACUAUCUUCAACUCUGAAGGAACAUCCGAAACAUACAACCCAUUCCAUGCUCUAAUAGCACUAGGAAAGAAGAAGCACUUGCACAGUUAAUUCAGCCUGGUCGUGUGGUAUGCGCUCUAGAUUGUCAAUCAGAGGUCUCCAUGGUCCCUGCCUGAUGCCAUCCCCUAUUGUCCUGCAGGAGUUUUGGGCUAGGAUGUUCCUUCCUAAAAGAGCCAACAAUUUGAGCAACAAUGAGAUUCUUCAGAAAAAUGAGAAGCAAUGAGAUGGGAAGCAUGUACAGUUCGAAAUUCCAGACUAUCACAAGAUAAACCUGAAACAAAUGGAAUCUGGUUACUAA